UACGUAGGGUGCGAGCGUUAAUCGGAAUUACUGGGCGUAAAGCGUGCGCAGGCGGUUUUGUAAGCCAGAGGUGAAAUCCCCGGGCUUAACCUGGGAAUGGCAUUCGGGACUGCAAGGCUGGAGUGCGGCAGAGGAGACUGGAAUUCCUGGUGUAGCAGUGAAAUGCGUAGAUAUCAGGAGGAACACCGAUGGCGAAGGCAGGUCUCUGGGCUGACACUGACGCUCAUGCACGAAAGCGUGGGGAGCAAACAGG
rnacentral:rRNA from 1 species